CUUCUAACCAGCCAAGAUUGAACAUAUAAAAUCAUAAAGCCAGAAGGCACUCCCUGAGAGCAACAGGUGCACCCCCACCCUCCUGGCGCAUUCUCACUGCACAGUCUCAGGCGAGUGUGACGUCUCUGAUUUCAAAAGAGCAUCACAAAGGAGAUUCCAGAAUGUCAUCCCACCCUUUGACCUUCAGAAUAUUUUCGUUCAUCUAAUUAAAUCCCUUUCAUGGUCACUUGGGCUCAUUUCUACCUUCUCUGCCCAGAGUGGGGACAGAGGACAAUCCGCAGCACUGUCCCAGUCAGAACUUUUUUAAGCCUGAUGGUAGUUACCAAGCUUCUGUUGGGUCUAAAGCUUUUGAGAAAGCAUGAGAGGCUGGCUUCAUUACUCCACGAAAGGCUGUUGGAAGAGAAAAGCGGAUUCGUUGGGCGGUGUCGAGGACAAAGACAGAAAAUCACCAAAGAGAAGAAAUAAAAAUACACAAAAACCAUCUUCUGCAUUACUAGGAAAAAGAAAACUCUGCAACCUUCAAAUGCGUUGUGAUUAGAAAAACAUCGCUUGGUGAUGGUGCAGUUAAGAGAAAUCAGGAAAGAAGAGGAAAAUUAAGGAUUCUGAAGAAAUAAAAGAGAAACAAAACAUGCA
rnacentral:lncRNA from 1 species